CUCGCCAGAGAAGCACUUAUUCCACUGAGCCAUCUCCCAGCCCCAAUUCUCUUGUAUUAUUCUUGAGAUGCAUUUCAAUGUUUGGAAAAUUCCAAGGGAAACUGGUACAGGAUAACAGAAGAUGCCCAAUAAAUGUGUCAAAGAAUUUGUUGAUGGGAACUGGGAACAUGGAGACAGACUUGGGUAUGUCUGCUGAAGUGACCAGUGAUGCCAGGGAACGUAUUCAGGGUUUCCUGGGCCACGGAACAGAGGACACAGCAGCCAACCGGUUUGCCAAUAGAUGGGGCUGGAGUGGCAAAGACCCCUACCACUUCUGACCUCAAGGUCUGCCUGGCAAGUACUGAGCUUCCCCCUCACUGUGCUCUCAAGAAAAUCCAGCUGUGACCCCUUGAGGGCGGGACGUUUGCCGAAUGAGUUAAUUUGCUAUCCUUAGUGCUUGGCAUAGAGCACACAAAACUAUUUAAUAAAUACUUGCAA